rnacentral:rRNA from 1 species
GAUGAACGCUGGCGGCGUGCCUAAUACAUGCAAGUCGAGCGAACGGACGAGAAGCUUGCUUCUCUGAUGUUAGCGGCGGACGGGUGAGUAACACGUGGAUAACCUACCUAUAAGACUGGGAUAACUUCGGGAAACCGGAGCUAAUACCGGAUAAUAUUUUGUACCGCAUGGUUCAAAAGUGAAAGACGGUCUUGCUGUCACUUAUAGAUGGAUCCGCGCUGCAUUAGCUAGUUGGUAAGGUAACGGCUUACCAAGGCAACGAUGCAUAGCCGACCUGAGAGGGUGAUCGGCCACACUGGAACUGAGACACGGUCCAGACUCCUACGGGAGGCAGCAGUAGGGAAUCUUCCGCAAUGGGCGAAAGCCUGACGGAGCAACGCCGCGUGAGCGAUGAAGGUCUUCGGAUCGUAAAACUCUGUUAUUAGGGAAGAACAUAUGUGUAAGUAACUGUGCACAUCUUGACGGUACCUAAUCAGAAAGCCACGGCUAACUACGUG